AGAGAGAGACAUGCGCGCAUAUCAAUAAGCGGAGGAAAAGAAACUAACAAGGAUUCCCUUAGUAACGGCGAGUGAAGCGGGAAGAGCUCAAAUUUGAAAUCUUCAAGGUUUUACCUUGACGAAUUGUAGUUUAAAGAAGUGUUUUCUGCUGAAGUUUUGGUAAAAGUUCUUUGGAAUAGGACAUCAUAGAGGGUGAGAAUCCCGUAUUUGACCAUUAUUUUCAGCUUUGUGAUACACCUUCAAAGAGUCGGAUUGUUUGGGAAUGCAGUCCAAAAUGGGUGGUAAAUUUCAUCUAAAGCUAAAUAUUGGCGAGAGACCGAUAGCGAACAAGUACCGUGAGGGAAAGAUGAAAAGAACUUUGAAAAGAGAGUUAAACAGUACGUGAAAUUGUCAAAAGGGAAGCGUUUGACACCAGUGUUGUUUUCUCGAAAAUCAAUUAAAAAUGGCUCGAUUUUGUAUUGUUGAGACCUUAAAAGCUCACUGUAGCAUUUUUCGUGUCUUUUUUAAUGCACUUUUCGUUUAACAAGUCAACAUCAGUUUCUUUUGUUGUAAAAGGGUCAUUGGAAGGUGGCUUUCUUUUCGGAGAAAGUGUUUAUAGCCUUUGGCCUCUGCAAUCGGAGAGACUGAGGUCUGCAGCGUAGACUCUCCGGGGUUAGAUACAUUUGUGCUAAGUUAUAGCUUUUUAUAGACAACUUGUUGACUAUGAUUAGUCAUUGUAGCUUACUCGCUUAUGCUAUUUUACCUACGCUUAGGAUGUUGAGUCGUAGAGCACGCAG
rnacentral:rRNA from 1 species